GCCGGGCAUGGUGGUGCAUGCCUGUAGUCCCAGAUACUUGGGAGGCUGAGGCAGAAGAAUCACUUGAACCCAGGAGGUGGAGGUUGCAGUGAGCUAACAUCAUGCCACUGCACUCCAGCCUGGGUGACAGAGUGAGACUCCAUCUCAA
rnacentral:SRP_RNA from 2 species